UCUCUGGUAGUAUAUCGGUUAGUACACGCGCCUGUCAUGUAUAUUUCUAGAAGAUCAUGCGCGCGAAAGCUGGGUUCGACUCCCAGCCAGAGAG